UGGCUCAGAGGUUAAAGCGUCUGCCUCCAAUGCGGGAGACCCAGGUUCAAUCCCUGG
rfam:Ovis aries breed Texel chromosome 6, whole genome shotgun sequence.